AACGAACGCUGGCGGCAUGCCUAACACAUGCAAGUCGAACGAAGGCUUCGGCCUUAGUGGCGCACGGGUGCGUAACGCGUGGGAAUCUGCCCUUUGGUUCGGAAUAACAGCUGGAAACGGCUGCUAAUACCGGAUGAUGACGAAAGUCCAAAGAUUUAUCGCCAGAGGAUGAGCCCGCGUUGGAUUAGGUAGUUGGUGGGGUAAAGGCCUACCAAGCCGACGAUCCAUAGCUGGUCUGAGAGGAUGAUCAGCCACACUGGGACUGAGACACGGCCCAGACUCCUACGGGAGGCAGCAGUGGGGAAUAUUGGACAAUGGGCGCAAGCCUGAUCCAGCAAUGCCGCGUGAGUGAUGAAGGCCCUAGGGUUGUAAAGCUCUUUUACCCGGGAAGAUAAUGACUGAACCGGGAGAAUAAGCCCCGGCUAACUCCGUG
rnacentral:rRNA from 1 species